AUUGAACGCUGGCGGCAGGCCUAACACAUGCAAGUCGAACGGUAACAGGAAGCAGCUUGCUGCUUCGCUGACGAGUGGCGGACGGGUGAGUAAUGUCUGGGAAGCUGCCUGAUGGAGGGGGAUAACUACUGGAAACGGUAGCUAAUACCGCAUAAUGUCGCAAGACCAAAGAGGGGGACCUUCGGGCCUCUUGCCAUCGGAUGUGCCCAGAUGGGAUUAGCUUGUUGGUGGGGUAACGGCUCACCAAGGCGACGAUCCCUAGCUGGUCUGAGAGGAUGACCAGCCACACUGGAACUGAGACACGGUCCAGACUCCUACGGGAGGCAGCAGUGGGGAAUAUUGCACAAUGGGCGCAAGCCUGAUGCAGCCAUGCCGCGUGUAUGAAGAAGGCCUUCGGGUUGUAAAGUACUUUCAGCGGGGAGGAAGGGAGUAAAGUUAAUACCUUUGCUCAUUGACGCUACCCGCAGAAGAAGCACCGGCUAACUCCGUG
rnacentral:rRNA from 1 species